CCUACGGGGGGCUGCAGUGAGGAAUAUUGGUCAAUGGACGAGAGUCUGAACCAGCCAAGUAGCGUGAAGGAUGACUGCCCUAUGGGUUGUAAACUUCUUUUAUAUGGGAAUAAAACGUUCCACGUGUGGGAUUUUGUAUGUACCAUAUGAAUAAGGAUCGGCUAACUCCGUGCCAGCAGCCGCGGUAAUACGGAGGAUCCGAGCGUUAUCCGGAUUUAUUGGGUUUAAAGGGAGCGUAGGUGGAUUGUUAAGUCAGUUGUGAAAGUUGGCGGCUCAACCGUAAAAUUGCAGUUGAAACUGGCAGUCUUGAGUACAGUAGAGGUGGGCGGAAUUCGUGGUGUAGCGGUGAAAUGCUUAGAUAUCACGAAGAACUCCGAUUGCGAAGGCAGUUCACUGGACUGCAACUGACACUGAGGCUCGAAAGUGUGGGUAUCAAACAGGAUUAGAUACCCCUGUAGUC
rnacentral:rRNA from 1 species